rnacentral:rRNA from 1 species
CCUACGGGGUGCUGCAGUGGGGAAUAUUGGACAAUGGGCGAAAGCCUGAUCCAGCCAUGCCGCGUGUGUGAAGAAGGCCUUCGGGUUGUAAAGCACUUUCAGUGGGGAAGAAAGCCUUGGGGCUAAUACCCUCGAGGAAGGACAUCACCCACAGAAGAAGCACCGGCUAACUCCGUGCCAGCAGCCGCGGUAAUACGGAGGGUGCGAGCGUUAAUCGGAAUUACUGGGCGUAAAGCGCGCGUAGGCGGUCUGAUAAGCCGGUUGUGAAAGCCCCGGGCUCAACCUGGGAACGGCAUCCGGAACUGUCAGGCUAGAGUGCAGGAGAGGAAGGUAGAAUUCCCGGUGUAGCGGUGAAAUGCGUAGAGAUCGGGAGGAAUACCAGUGGCGAAGGCGGCCUUCUGGACUGACACUGACGCUGAGGUGCGAAAGCGUGGGUAGCAAACAGGAUUACAUACCCUAGUAGUC